rnacentral:rRNA from 1 species
CCUACGGGAGGCUGCAGUGGGGAAUAUUGGGCAAUGGAGGAAACUCUGACCCAGCAACGCAGCGUGAAUGAUGAAGGUCCUCGGAUUGUAAAGUUCUUUUUUAAGGGAAGUAGAAAGUGACGGUACCUUAGGAAUAAGCCUCGGUUAACUACGUGACAGCAGCCGCGGUAAUACGUAGGAGGCGAGCGUUCUCCGGAAUGACUGGGCUUAAAGGGUGCGUAGGUGGGUUGGCAAGUUAGUUGCGUAACUCCAAGGCUCAACCUUGGAACUACUACUAAAACUGUUAGACUUGAGUGCAGGUGAGGCAGCCGGAAUUCCUGGUGUAGCGGUGGAAUGCGUAGAUAUUAGGAAGAACACCGGUGGCGAAGGCAGGUUACUAGACUGUAACUGACACUGAGGCACGAAAGCGUGGGGAGCAAACAGGAUUAGAUACCCCUGUAGUC